rnacentral:lncRNA from 1 species
UUACUUGAAGAAUAUUAGUUACUUUUGGCAUACAAUACAAUAUUCUGGUAAGUUUACUUAAUAUCUGACAUCAGGCUUAUGAGUUGCCAAUAGCAAACUGCAUAUUCAUUUUACGAAGGCAAAAACAAUUGGAAGUAGAUGGUUUUCCUUUAUAUGAUAUGUCCUCUAUUCCAUUUCAUUUGGAAAGAAAACUUUCUCUUAAGGUUAGAAAGAUGGCUCAGUGGUGAAAGAGUACUUGCUUGCUCUUGCAGAGGACCCAGGGUCAGUUCCCAGCCCCCACAUGGUGGCUCAUAACUGUUUCUGUAACUCCUGUUCCAUUCUGGCCUCAGUGGGCACCAGGCAUGCACACGGGGCACAUACAUAUAGGCAAGCAAAACACUCAUACGCAUAAAAUGAAAAUACAUAAAUCUUUUUUUUCUUUUUUAAUGUUUUUUAUUAGGUAUUUUCCUCAUUUACAUUUCCAAUGCUAUCCCGAAAGUUCCCCAUACCCUCCCCCCCACUCCCCUACCCCCCCACUCCCACUUUUUGGCCCUGGCGUUCCUCUGUACUGGGGCAUAUAAAGUUUGCAAGUCCAAUGGGCCUCUCUUUCCAGUGAUGGCCGACUAGGCCAUCUUUUGAUACAUAUGCAGCUAGAGACAAGAGCUCCGGGGUACUGGUUAGUUCAUAUCGUUGUUCCACCUAUAGGGUUGCAGUUCCCUUUAGCUCCUUGGGUAGUUUCUCUAGCUCCUCUAUUGGGGGCCCUGUGACCCAUCCAAUAGCUGACUGUGAGCAUCCACUUCUGUGUUUGCUAGGCCCCGGCAUAGUCUCACAAGAGACAGCUAUAUCAGGGUCCUUUCAGCAAAAUCUUGCUAGUGUAUGCAAUGGUGUCAGUGUUUAGAGGCUGAUUAUGGGAUGGAUCCCUGGAUAUGGCAGUCUCUAGAUGGUCCAUCCUUUUGUCUCAGCUCCAAAUUUUGUCUCUGUAACUCCUUCCAUGGGUGUUUUGUUCCCAAUUCUAAGAAGGGGCAAAGUGGUAUAUAUUACACACUUUAGUCUUCGUUCUUCUUGAGUUUCAUGUGUUUCGCAAAUUGUAUCUUAUAUCUUGAGUAUUCUAAGUUUCUGGGCUAAUAUCCACUUAUCAGUGAGAACAUAUCAUUUGAAUUAAAUACAUAAAUCUUAAGAGGAAAAAAAAAGAGCUGGAAAUGGUGGUGCAUGCCUUUGAUCCCAGCACCCGGGAGGCAGAUGCAGGAGGAUUUCUGAGUUUGAGGCCAGCCUGGUCUACAAAGUGAGUUCCAGGACAGCCAGGGCUAUACAGAGAAACCCUGUCUCAAAACACCCCCCUCCCUGCCCCCCAAAAAAGGAGGAAAAAAAAAAGCAUCCCAAAUAAAGAAGAAUCAUAUCUUUCCACAAUAAGAGAAAUCUAAAUUAGCAUACCUUAUACCAAUAUAGUUUCAGCAAAUAUUAAUGUGUAACACAGCAAUAAAGUAAUUUCUCUUUAUUUAGACCACAACAAUUUAUACCCGAGUUAAGUUAAUAAGUCGGUAUUAAAUUGUUUAAUACUGACUGGUAGUUGUAACCUGCUGGGCCCAAGAAACUUUCAUCCUUAGCUGGGGGUGGGAGUGAGGAGUGAGGGUCGGGGGUAGUGGCGAAUGCCUUUAAUCCAAAUGCUAGGGAGGCAGAAGCAGGUAGAUCUCUGAAUUCAAGGACAGCAUGAUCUACAGAGUUAAGUUCCAGGAUAGCCAGGACUACACAGAGAAACCCUGUCUUGUACAAAAAGGAGGAGGAGGAGGAAGAGGAGGAAGAAGAGGAGGAGGAGAAGGAAGAAAAGGAAGAGGAGGAAGAAGAAACUUACAGAGCAGAUCUAGUCACCACUGUGCCACUGUUACCAGAACACAAGUCCCCCAGGCCCUUGAAAGCAAAUCAAUUCACAAGUAAGGGCCACUUCGGAGAAAUCUAGUGGACUCCUCCUCUCCCUCCAUCUCCCCCUUAACACCCCCCAGAUGAGGUUUCUCUGUGUAACAGAAGCCCUGGCUGUCCUGGACUUGCUCUGUAGACUACACCUGUCCUUUUUUCUUAAUGGGAUGGUUUAAACCACAGAAAGGAAUGGUAGUCUUUAUGAAGUGGAAACUUAAGGGUUCUUUGGAAAGUUGGUUGGAUGGUGUUUUGCUGGAGCAAACAUGUAGUU